rnacentral:rRNA from 1 species
UACAGAGGAUGCAAGCGUUAUCCGGAAUGAUUGGGCGUAAAGCGUCUGUAGGUGGCUUUUUAAGUCCGCCGUCAAAUCCCAGGGCUCAACUCUGGACAGGCGGUGGAAACUACCAAGCUCGAGUACGGUAGGGGAGAAUGGAAUUCCCGGUGUAGCGGUGAAAUGCGCAGAUAUCGGGAGGAACACCGGUGGCGAAGGCGGUUCUCUGGGCCGAUACUGACGCUGAGGAGCGAAAGCGUGGGGAGCGAACAGG